rnacentral:rRNA from 1 species
GACGAACGCUGGCGGCGUGCUUAACACAUGCAAGUCGAACGAAAAGAGGGAAAGAGCUUGCUCUUUCCGGAAUUGAGUGGCAAACGGGUGAGUAACACGUAAACAACCUGCCUUCAGGAUGGGGACAACAGACGGAAACGACUGCUAAUACCGAAUAAGUUCCAAGAGCCGCAUGGCCCAUGGAAGAAAAGGUGGCCUCUACCUGUAAGCUAUCGCCUGAAGAGGGGUUUGCGUCUGAUUAGCUGGUUGGAGGGGUAACGGCCCACCAAGGCGACGAUCAGUAGCCGGUCUGAGAGGAUGAACGGCCACACUGGAACUGAGACACGGUCCAGACUCCUACGGGAGGCAGCAGUGGGGAAUCUUCCGCAAUAGGCGAAAGCCUGACGGAGCAACGCCGCGUGAGUGAUGACGGCCUUCGGGUUGUAAAACUCUGUGAUCCGGGACGAAAAGGCAGAGUGCGAAGAACAAACUGCAUUGACGGUACCGGAAAAGCAAGCCACGGCUAACUACGUG